UACAGAGGCCUCGAGCGUUGUUCGGAAUUACUGGGCGUAAAGGGAAUGUAGGUGGUGACGUAAGUCAGAUGUGAAAGCCCUGGGCUUAACCCGGGAAGUGCAUUUGAUACUGCGUUGCUAGAGUAUGAGAGAGGAAAGCGGAAUUCCAAGUGUAGGAGUGAAAUCCGUAGAUAUUUGGAGGAAUACCGAUGGCGAAGGCAGCUUUCUGGCUCGUAACUGACACUGAGAUUCGAAAGCGUGGGUAGCAAACAGG
rnacentral:rRNA from 1 species